AUGCAGUCGAGCGAGUGAACUAACUGAUCCCUCCGGGGUGACGUUAGUGGAUCUAGCGGCGGACGGGUGAGUAACACGUGGGCAACCUGCCUGUAAGACUGGGAUAACUCGCGGAAACGCGAGCUAAUACCGGAUGAUACUUUGAACUGCAUGGUUCGAAGAUGAAAGGCGGCGCAAGCUGUCACUUACAGAUGGGCCCGCGGCGCAUUAGCUAGUUGGUGAGGUAACGGCUCACCAAGGCGACGAUGCGUAGCCGACCUGAGAGGGUGAUCGGCCACACUGGGACUGAGACACGGCCCAGACUCCUACGGGAGGCAGCAGUAGGGAAUCUUCCGCAAUGGACGAAAGUCUGACGGAGCAACGCCGCGUGAGUGAUGAAGGUUUUCGGAUCGUAAAACUCUGUUGUUAGGGAAGAACAAGUACAAGAGUAACUGCUUGUACCUUGACGGUACCUAACCAGAAAGCCCCGGCUAACUACGUGCCAGCAGCCGCGGUAAUACGUAGGGGGCAAGCGUUGUCCGGAAUUAUUGGGCGUAAAGCGCGCGCAGGCGGUCCUUUAAGUCUGAUGUGAAAGCCCACGGCUUAACCGUGGAGGGUCAUUGGAAACUGGAGGACUUGAGUACAGAAGAGGAGAGUGGAAUUCCACGUGUAGCGGUG
rnacentral:rRNA from 1 species